GAUGAACGCUAGCGACAGGCUUAACACAUGCAAGUCGAGGGGCAGCGGGGGUGCAGGCUUGCCUGCACCUGCCGGCGACCGGCGCACGGGUGAGUAACACGUAUGGAACCUGCCCGCCACAGGGGGAUAACCCGGGGAAACCCGGCCUAAUACCCCAUGCCGCCCGGACCGGGCAUCCGGUCCGGGCGAAAGGAGGAAUCCGGUGGCGGCUGGGCAUGCGGCGCAGUAGCGUGACGGCGGGGUAACGGCCCACCGUGGCGACGAUGCGUAGGGGUUCUGAGAGGAAGGCCCCCCACACUGGAACUGAGACACGGUCCAG
rnacentral:rRNA from 1 species